UACAACUCCUCCCCUUGUAAUCCGUUACAUUUUCAACUACUUGAUCGCAUUGAACUCAUUGCAUAGAGGGAGCAAAAGAGGUAAAUUAAACAGUCAUUAUUGCUAUGUUAUGUUGAAAAAACUUGUGGUCAGUACUAUAAAAGCAGCUUUGGAGGAUCGUGCAAAGCAUAGCCUGACAGAGUCAAGCAAACGAACAAAACCUAUCAACAUGAACAAGCUGUUUGUCCUUCUUGUCGUCGCCCUUAUGGCCACCGUUGCUGUGGGUCAAGCCGUGAGAUACGCAAAUGGCUACACCUACGACAUCGAAACUGGCCAAGUGUCCAGCCCUUACACAGGCAGAGUAUACGAAACUAAGGGAAAAGCUCCCUUUUAUGGUUUUGGUUUCAAGUAUCCCUAUCACUAUUAUCCAGGCUACUAUCACGGAUAUCCCCAUGUCUUCUACUAAACAGUCUUUGUACCAAGUUUAUUCUUCCAAACAACAUAUUGGCCAAACUUUCAAACUUAACUUUUCUUUUGACUCUUCAGUGAUGAUCAUCAUCAAAUAAAAGAAGCAUGAGUUUGUCUCCAAGUGCCACUUUUAUGACGUCACUACUGGAUAUUCCGAGUAAUUACAACACGUCUUCUACGCUAUGCUGUUCUUGUAUAUAAUAGGAAAAUAA